rnacentral:rRNA from 1 species
GAUGAACGCUAGCGGCAGGCUUAACACAUGCAAGUCGAGGGGUAUAGUUCUUCGGAGCUAGAGACCGGCGCACGGGUGCGUUACGCGUAUGCGAUCUACCUUUUGCAGAGGGAUAGCCCAGAGAAAUUUGGAUUAAUACCCCAUGGUAUGUGAGAAUGGCAUCAUUUUCACAUUAAAGUCACAACGGCAAAAGAUGAGCAUGCGUCCCAUUAGCUAGUUGGUAAGGUAACGGCUUACCAAGGCAACGAUGGGUAGGGGUCCUGAGAGGGAGAUCCCCCACACUGGUACUGAGACACGGACCAGACUCCUACGGGAGGCAGCAGUGAGGAAUAUUGGACAAUGGGCGCAAGCCUGAUCCAGCCAUGCCGCGUGCAGGAUGACGGUCCUAUGGAUUGUAAACUGCUUUUGUACAGGAAGAAACACUGGUUCGUGAACCAGCUUGACGGUACUGUAAGAAUAAGGAUCGGCUAACUCCGUGCCAGCAGCCGCAGUAACAC